rnacentral:rRNA from 1 species
GACCCUGUUGAGCUUGACUCUAGUUUGACAUUGUGAAAAGACAUAGGGGGUGUAGAAUAGGUGGGAGCUUCGGCGCCGGUGAAAUACCACUACCCUUAUCGUUUUUUUACUUAAUCAAUUAAGCGGAACUGGGCUUCAUCGCCCAUUUUCUAGCGUUAAGGUCCUUCGCGGGCCGAUCCGGGUUGAUGACAUUGUCAGGUGGGGAGUUUGGAUGGGGCCGCACAUCUGAAAAAC